AGGCUGCCCAUUCGGAGGGGGGAGUUGUGCAUCGUGGAUUUGGCUGGCAACGAGAGGAUCCGCAAGAGUGGGUCGGAGUGCGGGGUGAGGCUGGA
rnacentral:SRP_RNA from 1 species